GUGCCAGCCCGCGGUAAUACGAAAGGUGCAAGCGUUGUUCGGAUUUACUGGGCGUAAAGAGAUCGUAGGUGGUUUGUUAAGUCGGGUGUGAAAUCCCGGGGCUCAACCCCGGAACUGCAUUCGAUACUGGCAGGCUAGAGUUCGGGAGGGGGAAGCGGAAUUCCGUGUGUAGCAGUGAAAUGCGUAGAUAUNCGGAGGAACACCUGAGGCGAAGGCGGCUUCCUGGACCGAUACUGACNCUGAGGAUCGAAAGCGUGGGUAGCAAACAGGAUUAGAUACCCUGGUAGUCCACCCCGUAAACGAUGUCAACUAGCCGUUGGGUCCCUUGCUGGACUUGGUGGCGCAGCUAACGCGAUAAGUUGACCGCCUGGGGAGUACGGCCGCAAGGUUAAAACUCAAAGGAAUUGACGG
rnacentral:rRNA from 1 species